UGGAAACAUUUUCAGUGAUUUAGUCAGUUCUUAGAAUCAUGAUGAGCUUGUAAAAUAGAGGCAUCAUAGAGAUAGGUGCUGUUUGAAUUCAUGUCUGUCCCAUCCCAAGGUUGGAUCUUCCAGCUUUAUAGGCUGGAGGAGGAAACGGGGUCAGAGGGAGAAAAGAGAGCUGCAUGUGGGAUUUACCUUCACUAGCCUGGCCCACCUGGGUUGCCCUGGAAGGUCUAGAGUGGGGUGAAGGCAACAUAGUAGACAUUUGCAAUUAAUUCAAAUACUUAUUUUUCUCACAUCACAAAAAGCUUAAAAAGAAAAGACUCCAAGUUAAGUUUAAUGGCUCAAGGAUGUUGUCAAGGAUGCAUAUUCCUUCUGUCUUUGUUCUCUGCCGUCCUCUGUUUGUCAGCUACUUUUCCCUCACGGCCAUAAGAUGGCUGCACGGCUCCAAAAUCAUGUUCUUCACUUGACAGCUUCCCAAAAAGGAAGGCAGAGAAGUGGGCAAAAUACUUUCCUUCUAUGAGUGGCUACUUUUUAACAAGAAA
rnacentral:lncRNA from 1 species